AUACGUAGGGGGCUAGCGUUAUCCGGAUUUACUGGGCGUAAAGGGUGCGUAGGUGGUUUUUUAAGUCAGGAGUGAAAGGCUACGGCUCAACCGUAGUAAGCUCUUGAAACUGGAAAACUUGAGUGCAGGAGAGGAAAGUGGAAUUCCUAGUGUAGCGGUGAAAUGCGUAGAUAUUAGGAGGAACACCAGUAGCGAAGGCGGCUUUCUGGACUGUAACUGACACUGAGGCACGAAAGCGUGGGGAGCAAACAGGAUUAGAUACCCUGGUAGUCCACGCCGUAAACGAUGAGUACUAGGUGUCGGGGGUUACCCCCCUCGGUGCCGCAGCUAACGCAUUAAGUACUCCGCCUGGGGAGUACGCUCGCAAGAGUGAAACUCAAAUGAAUUGACGGGG
rnacentral:rRNA from 1 species